rnacentral:lncRNA from 1 species
ACAUAGGAGGGCGAUGAUGAGUCCAAUAUGUCUACCAAUCAACUGCUUUUGUUAUGAAAAAUACAGGGAUCACCUGCUCAAAUUUACUGAUAAUGAGUCAAGGUAUGUAUAGAUUUUAAAAUGAAUUUUAUUAUAUGCUAUGCGUCUAUGUUGUUUGAGCUCUUCAAAGAUGCCAUUAGGUGUGUGUGGGGUUCUCCAAAAGUAGAGUAUUUUUAGAGAAUUCAACAUCCAUAGUGCAUCAAAAGUGAAGAGUCUAUAAGCAACUUAGCUAUGCACAACUCUAUAAGAGGCUAUUAACUUCUGUUCUUAUGAAAAUACAGGGAAUAUUUGCUUGAGUUUAUUGGUAGUUUUUAGAAUAUUUUCUCUUCCCCUAACUAAAAGUCCAUUACAACUACCUAAUCUUUUCCAUGGCAGUCAUAUGUUCUUUACUUUGAUAAAUGACAUACCAUUGUGAAAUGAGAAUGUUGAUAGAUUACUAUUUGAAAGUGAAUAUAAUUAGGCAAGUUAUUUUUCGAAUUUUAGUCUUUAGACUGAUCAAACAUCUCUGAUUGAUUUCUUUAUACUGAUAUAUUUACAACUAAUUUGUAGCUCUGAUUUAAUUUUUAUGUUUUAGUCGAACAUUUGCAAUGACAACGUAAUAGAUGGAGCUGACCAUGUGUUAAUCAAGUUAGGUCAAAAUCACAACUUAAGAAACUCAAGAAGUCCUACAAUCUCCAAAAGUAAUGUCAUUAUAUGUUUUUUCUAUUGAAAUCCUCACGAAUCGUUGAUAAUAACAGAAUCGUCUCUGUCAUCAACAUGAAGUUUAUAUGACUUUUGAAUUACCAAACGAGUUUGGCAUAGUCAAAAAGUAUUGUAUUAGAUAACUUAUCUUUGAUCUGUUGUAAACGAGCAUGUUAUAUAUUAGAAGAUGACAUGAUGUAUUUAUUUGCAGGAACAAAUACUUAACAUGAAUCAAUCGAAGAAGCUUUUUGUUCAUUCUUCCAAGUUGUAAUGAUUUUUUAGUACUGAUAUGAUAUUUGUCAUUAGUCCAUAUUAAAUUUAACCAUUUGAACCGCAUUUUACUUAG